rnacentral:rRNA from 1 species
AGGACGAACGCUGGCGGCGUGCUUAACACAUGCAAGUGGAGCGACGAACCAGGCUUCGGCCUGGGGCAGAGCCGCGAACGGGUGAGUAACACGUGAGUAACCUGCCCUCCACUCUGGGAUAAGCCCGGGAAACUGGGUCUAAUACCGGAUAUGACUGCGGAUUUCAUGGUCUGUGGUGGAAAGUUUUUUCGGUGGGGGAUGGACUCGCGGCCUAUCAGCUUGUUGGUGAGGUAAUGGCUUACCAAGGCGACGACGGGUA